AACGAACGCUGGCGGCGUGGAUAAGACAUGCAAGUCGAACGGAGGAUGUGUAGCUUGCUAUAACAUCCUUAGUGGCGCACGGGUGAGUAACGCGUGAGCAACCUGCCCAUAAGUUGGGGAUAGCCCUGGGAAACCGGGAUUAAUACCGAAUGUGGUAGCAAUACUAAAGCAGUAAUGCGCUUAUGGAGGGGCUCGCGUCCUAUUAGUUAGUUGGUGAGGUAACGGCUCACCAAGGCGAUGACGGGUAGCCGGUCUGAGAGGAUGUCCGGCCACACUGGAACUGAGACACGGACCAGGCUCCUACGGGAGGCAGCAGUGAGGAAUAUUGGUCAAUGGACGAGAGUCUGAACCAGCCAAGUCGCGUGAAGGAUGACUGCCCUAUGGGUUGUAAACUUCUUUUAUGUGAGAAUAAAAAAGGGAACGUGUUCCCUAUUGCAUGUACCACUAUGAAUAAGCAUCGGCUAACUCCGUGCCAGCAGCCGCGGUAAAAC
rnacentral:rRNA from 1 species